CAUCCCCGGCAUGGGCUGCUGUGUCGAUCAGGUGGCAACUUGAACUCGACCCUCCAGUGGAAGAGAAGGGGAGAGAGGAGCCUCAAAGACUUAGGCCCUGGUGGGACAAGUUGGUCCAGGUGCUGGAAGAAGCUGAUGGAAUGCAGAUGGGGCUGGGGUUGCGAUCCUAGCUCCCCAUGACACACAUCCCAAAUUGAGGCCAUAUGGCUGCUGCUGCAAAGAGACCCAGAUGCUGGCUUAGGUGACAGGUGAGACUAGGCCACACGGACACACAGGGAGACAAUAGCCACAGCCCUGCAAGGCACAUGGGUGAGUCUCGGGAUCAUAGAAAACUCUCAGGUGGGAAACAAAAAUUUUACAGACUUGAAAUGAUAGCAUCAAGUGGCACCUGGGUAGCUCCGUCAGUAAGCAUCUGACUCUUGAUAUUGGGUUUGUGGGAUCAAGCCCCACAUCAGGCUGUAUGUUGACAGUGCAGAGCCUGCUUGGGAUUCUCUCUCUCUAUUCCUCUCUGCCCCCUCCCCUGUUCUCUCUGUGCCCCUCCCCUGCUCUCUCUCUCUCUUUCAAACAUAAAUAAACUUUUAAAAAAGUCAGGCUCAGGUCGGCAGCUAUAAGUCAUUCAGCUGGGAUUGCCAGCCCUGGCUCUGAGAUUUUGGAUGUAGAGUUAAACAGGUUUGACUCUAGAAGGCGUAGCUCAGGAAGCAAGACCCAGAGCCAGGAAGAGGGCAGAAUAUCAAAGACUGCAGAGCCACAUCCUCUAAACCAGUAACCUCUCUCAUGGCAGCCCAGAAGCCCAGGGAAGAAGGUAGGUGUUCCAGAUAGUGCCUGUUGGUGAUCAUAAUUACAGCAACACCAAUGACAGAGAGGCUACACCAGGUUGUGAGCCAUGGAGGUAGAUUGCGUCACUUACCAGCUCCUCUAUCUUCUUGCUUUGUUACUUCUAGUACAUCGCUUUCCCUUUCUGGGCCUCCAGAAAUGGCAUCAUACAUGUUGUUGCUAUAACAAUUCUGUACUUAGAUAGCUUCGAUGUUGUAGAAGUAGCAGUUGGUAGUGGCUAUCAGGAAAUAGCCUCUCGUGUACAAUUGGGAUAAUAAUAAUGCUUCACAGAAUUUACAGCAGAUAUCAGUGAAGGGACAAAUGGUGAAUAUCUGUGGCACUGGGAGCCAUGUGGUCUCUGUUGAGACUCUUCCAUGCUGCUGUAAACUGGUGGAAAGUUCCGGCAUUUGAAAGUCUGUUAUUUGUCAUAGAAAUUUGCAGAAAAGCCUGCAGUAGGCGAGUGGCCCUUGGCUUAUAAAUGAAAUUGCAUAAAAUGGUAGCCUUAAGUGUUAGACUUUGGACUCCAGAGUGUCAACACAGUCAAAUGCAAAGAAUGGCUAACUUUUAUUAUUUUUUUUAACGUUUAUUUAUUUUGAGAGUGAAAAUGUGAGCAGAGGAGAACAGAGAGAGAGGGAGAGAGAGAAUCCCAACCAGACUAUGUGGUCAACACAGAGCCUGACAUGGGGCUCAGUCUCAUGAACUGUGAGAUCAUGACCCAAACUGAAAUCAAGAGUCAGACACUUGACUGACUGAGCCACCCAGGCUCCCCACCCCCCCUUUUUUUUAAUACAAAGUUUUAGGCUGCCUAAGUGUGAUAAUAUGAGGCAUGUUCUUUCUGCAAGUCUACCCACCUUUGUUCUAACAUUCCUUUUGAUUUAUCUAUCUCAUCUACCCUUUUUUAAAUAGAAAAUAUAAUUUGGCAAGUGGCAGCCCAUAGUUAAAUAAGUACCACCAAAAAGUCUGAAAAUGUGUUUUUCAUUUACAAGGAAAAGAGUUAAGCUGAUUUAGAGAUGUUGUGUGUUGCCAGUAACACUUAAAGGAGAUAUACUUCAUCCUUAAGGUGAGAAGCAGCUGAGAAAUGGCUCUUGGAACCUUUUUCGGUGAAGUAUUCUCUUACCCUCUCUUGAAAUUAAAAAGAAAAAGAAGUGAAGAACAUGCAGAAAGCCAUGUUAGGGUGCUGUCUCUUCGAGCUCUGUAAAUUUUAGAUGGUGUUGCUCUAAAUAAAGGUUAGGGAGCGUAAAUGGCCAGCCUAAAUGGGGCUGACCGUGGUAAAUACAGGUUUUGGUGCCUGGCAGAUAUUUUGUAACAAGGUUCUCCAAAAGCAAAAGCAAAGUGAGGUCUGAGUAAUGACCUAUUUCGUCUGCAGUGUGCAGGGAAUGGGGCCUUUUUUCUUUAAUUUUUCAAAAGAACUCUGGAAAGCGUUUCUAAUUUCAGUCUAAUGGAACCUAACAUCGGGGGUUUCUCAGGUCAGUGUUUUCUACGAAUCACACCCCACGGUCAUCUUGUAACAUAAUGUCCAGUAUUCAUACACUCUCUGCAUAACGCACAUCUUUAGAUUGCUUUUUAUUAGUUUGGACCCUGACUAUUGUGAGGAAGUUCUCAUGACUAUUUUGUAUGUGUCUGUGACAUGAAUUCAUCAAGUGCCCAUUAGUUCCUACUAUGUGCAGUCCACUCACUCUUGAAUGUGAAUGUCAUGAAGACUGAGGCUUUUCUGUACUGAUUUAAAGAUUUGAAAUCCACCCAGAUAGAAGAUGUUUCUGACCAAAAUUGACGAUGCUGUCAGUGGGGUUUGGUGAGCAGAAUGGAUCUUCUUGAAAUUCGUAAAGCUUAUGUGGGUAUUUCGAGAAAACAGCAAGACAGCUUUUCCAGCAAAAAAAGAUGGUUUGGUUUUCUCUGUCAUAUUAAUGGUACCAAGCUGUGACGAUUUAAAAUAGCACAAAGAAAUGAGGAAAGAGUUGGCUUUUAGGUUGGCUUGUCCUGGAAUGGAGACCUAGGACUUAAUGAGUUCAGGCUGAAAUUUCCCAAACCCUGGCCUCAGAAGAAUCCAGACAUGUGCCAGUUCAAAGACGAACUGCAGCACCCUUUCCUGUGUUGAUCACGUGAAACGUGUGAUUCCUCAGAAGUAGUCCAGUAUUUCUCUGAUAAUAGCCAUGUCCUGAGAGGUGAACGGACUAGUAAUGUGAGAUGCUAAGGUAUAAAGCUUCCAUUCUCAGGUGCCUACAUGUUGGAUACACUUGAGGGAUCUGCGUUGGUGAGUAGAAGAAAAGCAUCCAUGGUGCAGGACGCCCUUGCUCCCUGCAGCCCAGCAUUCACUCGUGUGUCCAGCAGCCUCUCUAGAAAUGCUGAGUAAUCAGAGCAGGGACACUCAUUCCAUCGGAGCCCCGGACAGAAAGACAGCUUGCUGUGCUCAGAGCAAUUCUAAAGAGGGAAGAAGGUGUGGGGUUUGCCAAAGUAGGGGUGAGUGCUAUUGCAUGAAACGUGGAGAGCUUUCAAAAAUAUUUGCUACUUUUCUUGAAAACAGCUCCACAAAAGCAUUUUAGCAGAUGUGGAAAGAAAACAUUAUCCAGCCCAUGUAUCGAUGAAAUCUACCGCACAUUUUUUUCCAAGCAUCCAAUAAUCCAUUAGAAAUAAAGUGUUCCUAACUGCAGGCAAGGUAAGAAAGUCAUUGUCUGAAGUUUAUUAUCUGGAACGCUGUAGUGGAACAUGGUGUGCUAAUGGGUGAAUUCACUUACUUUUCAAAUGGUUUCCCCAGAGGAGCUGUUUACAUGAUUGUCCUUCUCUUUUCCUGCUCCUCUCCCUGUUGCUCUCUGACCAACAUCAUUUAGAUUUAGCAGAUAGAGUCGAGUAGUUGCAAAUGUGCCAAACCUACUUCAUACACAUGAGCACUGUCCCCUUGGAACCAAGGGACUUUCUGUACUAAGGAUUCUUAUUUUUUUUUUCAACGUUUUUAUUUAUUUUUGAGACAGAGAGAGACAGAGCAUGAACAGGGGAGGGGCAGAGAGAGAGGGAGACACAGAAUCUGAAGCAGGCUCCAGGCUCUGAGCUGUCAGCACAGAACCCGACGCGGGGCUCGAACUCACGGGCCGUGAGAUCAUGACCCAAGCCGAAGUCGGACGCCCAACCGACCAAGCCACCCAGGCUCCCCUCUGUACUAAGGAUUCUUAAUCUUAAUGCAGUAUUCCUGCCUAUGAGUGAGGGUCAACCUUGGCUGUAUUAACACAGAAACAUCCCUGUUCUAAAACCUCCAUCUCUAUACACUUAAUCUGAUGGUUAUGCAAGGGGAUCCAUCUGCCAAAGGCCACAGUCCAUCCCAAGACGGUGAGAAGAGGAGCAGACAUUACAAAGCUGUAUCUAAACCCCUUUCAGGGGCGCCUGGGUGGCUCAGUUGGUUAAGCGUCCAGCUCUGGAUUUCAGCUCAGGUCUUGAUCUCACAGUUUGUGAGUUCGAGCUCUGCAUUGGGCUCUCCGCUGACUGUGCAGAGCCUGCUUGAGAUUGUGUCUCCCUUUCUCUCUCCCCCUCCCCUCCUGGCUCUGUAUCUCUCCCUCUCUCAAAAUAAAUCAAAUAAAACGUUAUAAAAAAAUAAACUCCUUGAAUGAGUAGAUUGGGUAUUUCCCGUUAUGGAGCAAAACGUAUCAGUCAUGCCAUUGAGCAGAUAUGUUUACAUGAUUUCCCAUUUCUUCUACCAUGUGUACAGUGGCACAGGUUUUCUUACAGCAUGCUCUGUUUCUCGACCUGACAAUAAAAAUUAAGCUCCCUAGAUUAUAUUCCCAUGGUGGGGUGAGGGAAGGGCACCCAGCUUUAGGGUUGAAUUUUGACCUGCCCCUACUUGAGUCAGUCUGUCUUCUUUAGUCUCCCUUUCUUAAACUCUUGAACAGGGUCAUCAGUAAAGCCAAAAAAACAGGACCUGUGUUAGAAUCAAAAUCAAUUGCCCAGUGUAGCCGUUGGCACCUAAAAAGGACUGUGCACAGUGUUUUUCUUCUCUUGAGAUUUUAAGGAAAAAAGUUUCAUGGUUUUAACAGACAGGGUUUUAAACCUUUGGGGUUAAAGUCACAUUAAUACUCUCAGAUUGUUGGUUGCCUUGAGAGCAGGCAGUGUUUGGUGCAGGCUCUGUCCCCCGCAGAGAUAGAAGUUCCAGGGUUCACGGCACUAAUUAGACCAUGUCAGACAGGGAUGGGGGGCAGGGCAGGGCCACAGCUUCUGCCUUUGGCAAAAAAUGUUAACUGUGAUUUGACAGUGAACUGUGUGCUCGCAUGUUCUCUGUGACUAUAAAUAUUGAUCCCAAAGAAAAACUAAGAUGAUACUGUGGUGUGGCACGUUUCCACCGUUCUUCUGUCCGUAUUGUUAUUUUAAAAAUAUUUUUAUUUAAAUUCAUUCUCUUUUUUUUAAGGCUUAUUUUUUACAGAGAGCAAGUAGGGCAGGAGCAGAGAGAUGGGGGGCAGAAGGGGGUGGAGAGAGAGAGAGAGAGAAAGAGAGAAUCAUGAGUAGACUCCAUGCCAUCCCUGUAGAGCCUGAUGCAGGACUCAAACCCAUGAACCCGAGAUCAUGACCUGAGCUGAAACCAAGAGUCAGACACUUAACUGUCUAAGCCACCCUAAAUUCAUUCUUUUUAAGCCACCCAGGUGCCCCUAAAUUCAUUCUUUUUAAGAGUAAACAAAUUUUAAAAAGAAAUAAUCCUAAAUAAAUAAAUAAGACCUCCUUGAAUGGCAUAGCCUAAUCUUUUAUUAACACGGUUAUCAUUUGAGGGUCCCAUUCCCCUGACUUAUAAAAUAGCAUCAGGACCAAGAGGAAUCAAAGCUCAGUAUGUUGCUGGCGUGAAACUGUAAUUUUUAAGAACCCAGAUCUGAGUAACUUCUCCAGUUCAGCCAUCAGGUUCGGAAAGCCCUCAUCAACCAGGCAGAAUGUGUUAAAUCCAAACCCACUGAAAGACGUUAGCCAGAGAAUGGCCAUGCACAGCCCCUGACUCCUUGUGGCUACCUGGGUGUUCUGUUCUGGUUGCUGGGAGUACCUACAGGCUUCUUGAGGUUAGGAGCCCUGUCUUAACACUCCUGUAGCAUUUUUCUUGCGGUGUAAUCCUAGUGAUGUGCAUAUAGCAUACGCCAUAAUCACUUGCCGUGCACACUUGGGCCAUCUGGCAGCUGGCCAAGCAGAGCAUUCCCAUGUCCUUGGGACUGUUUUGUGUUGUCUUGCAUAGGCUGUCAAACAGUGUGGCCCUCAGGUGUUCCUGGCUUCGGGGAUCAGUGAUGAAAUUCACAGGUUUCUGAGAGUGCAUGGUUUAAGACGUUAUGGUAAAGCUUACAUAGCAUGUUUUAGGUAAAGUUUUUAGUCUACUCCUCCCUUGCAUUUGCAUUUAGAACGGCUGAGGAAGCUAGCUGUGUUUGUCUUGGACUGGAUUCUCUACAGGCUUGGAGCCGCCCACUUCUCUCCUGACUUUAACAUCAGUCUGGAAGAUGCGGCCCCCUGACCAGUGGAGAGAGCCUGGUCAGGAAGAGGGAUAGGAAGGACAGUUUGCAUGUUCACACUUCUGGGCCCGGGUGCUGGCUGUGCCUGGGAUGGGGCAAAACACACUGAAGGGUAGAUCAUUUAUUUUUUGUCUACGUUUCUAUUUUGAUUGAGUGGAUACUUUGGAGCUUAGCAUAAAUUUUCUUGGGAUGGUUGUGGUGGCAGCGGGGGUUUAUUAUAUGGUAAAGGAAGAAAAUUUUAGUUUUUAAAAGAAAGAUAUUUUUGAGCCAUUGUAAUAACGCUUAUAUUUUACAAAGACCUCUCGUACACUGUGCAAAAGAAUAGGACAUUCACAUGAAUAUUUAGUACUUAAUUAAAAAAAAAUUGUCUACUAGCUUUUCAGACAUGCUCCUGAAGAUUUUUUUCCCAAUAUACCCAAGGAGUUUUCCCUCCCAGUGUAGUGCUAGCCAAGAGUUUCAUUUUCAUUAUAUAAAAAUAACUGGUUAUACUGCAGAGGCCUAUUUUUGGUAGCAGAGUGUCUAUAUUUGGUUUCUUUAAUCUUAAAAAAAAAAACCAUAGUAAAGAUAAAAACUUUUCUUAUUUUGUGAGAAUAAUGCAUUUUCCUUUUAUAGAACGUACAGAAAACUAUGUGACAGUGAAAUCCCACCAACAGGAGAUAACCACUGUUAGUAUUUUGGUGUUUCUCCUACUCUUACCCAUAGGAGAAAAAUACUGUGAUUAAACCAUUUAGGCUACUCUGUGAAUUUUCAUAUUUCUGCUUCUUGCUCGUAAGACACAAGUUGAAUUAAAUGGUGUUUAGUGUUCUAAAACUCAAUAGAGUCAGUGAAAUGAUUUGAAAUGAUGCUUUAAAAUGUUAAUAUAUUGCCUGCCUUUUUGAAUCAUUAUGACCAGAGUCUCCCAUAUCUUUUUCUUGAAAAAAUUUUUAAUGUUUGUUUAUUUUUGAGUGAGAGCAAGGACGCGCGAGCGAGCACAAGUGGGGGAGGAGCAGGGAGAGAGGGAGACACAGAAUCCGAAGCAGGCUCCAGGAUCUGAGCUGUCAACACAGAGCCUGAUGUGGGGUUUGAAUUCACAAACCUGCAGAUCAUGACCUAAGCUGAAGUUGGACGCUUAACCUACUGAGCCAUUCAGGCACCCCCAGUGUCCCGUAUCUUUAAACAUUCUUCAGAAAUAUGUUAAUCAUAAGGCAUAAAAUAUGACAUUUAAAUAUUAAGUGGAAGAAAAGAGCCAGUGAGAUUAAUUGAUUAAAAAUGCUGAGAUACAUUCCAGACUUGGAAUUGCUUUUAUUUUCAACCACUUGUUUGAUUACAUAGCUUUUUAAAUACUAGGCCUUGGAUUUAAAGUGUAUCAUUAUUCACCUGAAUUAGAAGAAGGAAUGACCACAUAUUCAGUUUUAUUGCCACCACAAGAAGGAAGGAUUCAAAUCAUAAGAUGAGAAAUAGUCAUAGAAAUCCAACUUCCUAACUUAAAACUAGUGAUCAGGUUCCAAGCAAAGAUAAUUCAGAUUUUAUUAACGUGAAGCAGCUGUGGUCUUUAAUACAGUACUUUUUUUUUUUUUUUUUUUUUUUUUCUGGACAAGGAAAAGGGCUUAUAAAAUAAAGAAUACUUUUGUUGUUUCUUUUUGAAAGCAGCUGGCUUCCCGUGGUUGAGCUGUUUUCGAGUUGAGAAACCCCAGGCUCUGGGUGUUUUUCUUGUAAAGGAGCUGGGAGGAGGGGAGAAGUGGCUUUGACCAUCCUGUGCAGGGUCCAGCUGCAGCAGUGUGGGGACCAGAGGAAAGAAGGACAGACAGGCCCUCCUUCCUCUGCCCCUUCUGUGUUUCCCCAAGGGCCAGCCUGCUGCUUUGAGUCUCACCACCAUGACCCUGCCCACAGGGCCCCAGCAAUGUGAGGAACAAGCUGGCAGGGCAGUCCUGUAGGCCUUGUGGAGGGAGGGCAGAGUGGGGGUUUGGGGGAGGAGGCAGCACAGGGUGGGGAAGGCUGUUCCCUGGUCAGGUGCACAGAACUCAGGGUUAGCCAUGGAGUUCUGCACUGGGUGCUGUGAUCCACUGGCCCCAGCGUUCUCCAGAGGGACGAGUAGGGAAGAUCCUGGGGCUGGAAGCUACCUCCGUUCUUGGGCUGCUUCUACAAACUUCCUAUGACCUCAGGGUCCCUAGGAGAGUAGCUUGGGUGUCAUUUCUUGAGGAUUGCCUUUGAUUCCUGGUGUCGACUCCUCUCCAGACAUUGGCUAGUUUUCCUUAUCAGGGUUUAUAGUUAAUAUUAGUAGGAUUAUUUGAUAAAUGUCACCUCCUUCCUGUUUAGUCACCAUUUUGUCCUCAGCACCAGGCACUGUGUCUGGCCCACAGGAAGCUCUUGGUAAAUAGUCAAUAAAGGAAAAGGUGACUUUUAUUUUGAGAAUUAACCUUACCUCUCAUUGCUUUAUUUAGAUAUCUGAAAUCUCUUGACGAAAAUAUAUAUGUAAACGUUGAUAGCACUCUUUUGGGGGCAUAGCAUUCCAUUUGUCAACAGGAAAAGAACAGAAUUAAAGUAUUCUUUAUUCCAGAUAUUGAAUAUAUAUUUAUAUUACUAUAAAAUAACGUUUAUAUUUUACAUUUUCUGAAACCAUUUUUGGCUAAGUCUUAAUUUUCAAAUUGUUUUUUACAUUUGUAGAUAAUGAUUAUUGCUUAUUAUGUUUGAGAUUUCCUUGGUGUUUAUUUCAGUUUCAAAGAUGAAAGAGUGAGUUUGUAUUAUUAGGCUCAUUUUAAAGGUGAGGAUUUUGAAAGUUGAGAGCAUUUCUCAUUGUGGUAGAUUUGGGAAGGAAAAUUGGAGAUUAGCAGACAUCUUCAGAAUUGUCUCUUGUGAAGUCUGAAGCAUAUUUUGUAAUUAUUGCCUUUCUGAGUCACUUUGCUCCCUUCAGUGAUGAGCACAGCACCCAGCAUAUAUUAGGUUUUGGACACAGUAUUGAAUCAAUGUAUGUAUUUACUUAUGGGUACGAACAUGGAGGGAAGACAUAAAUCCAGCUAUGAACAGUCUUGUAUUAAAGCCUGUUCUUUUUACUUUAAUACAUUAUAAACAGUAGUUGCUUUAAAUUCAGAAGUAGAGAAUCAAGGUUACCAUUGGCCCCUCCCUGCCAUCUUUCCAUGCCCUGAAGCUCCUUCUUAUCUUAGAGUUUCUCUUUCUUGGACCAUGUGUAUUCACUGUGUAUGUUUUUUGUCAGCUUUAUCUUUCCAAAGUUGAGGACUUUGAGACAUGGCAUUGAUUCAGACUCAAGUAAUGUGGAGCUGGAGGUCAUCAUGCAGGAACAAGUCUGAAGACAACCCUUGUUGCUCAUAAGGAAAGGGUAUGCCAAGGAGAAUGAUUUUUUUUUUUUUUUUUUUGCAAAAUGUCACUGGGAAAAUUUUAAUUACUGAAGAGAAUUGAAGUGUUCUAAAUAAUCCUGGACUAGAGGAAUCUGUGAAAAUUUGGGUUUUCCCUAUGGGUUUGUGGGUUCAGAGUUUGGCUCUGCAUUUUGAUAACCAUUGUAGCCGUUGUGUUUUGUUGUUUUGUUCUGAAAACAAAGGUUCUCCUUCUGGAAGCUUCUCCAAGGCCUUACGCACAUAGCUGCUUGACGGUCCCAAGGGACAUGGCUAGUUUUUUAGUAAGUAGUGCUUGUUCCAAAGGGAUAAAGUAGUGGCUCUAAAAUGUUCCUUUAAAAUGUGAAUGGUUAUGGUAUAAUUAUCUACACUGAAAGAAAAAAAAAAUAAUUACUGGCUCUGAAUCAAAAAAAUAACAACACUUUGGCUAUAAAUCCCUAAUUGCCUCUAAAACGCAAAAACAGACAUGUUUAAUUUUUCUUUCCCCUCUGCAACUUAUCUGCUUUGUCUGGUGAUUAAAACAGGCGACAGCCAGUCAGGCCUGCUGGAAUCUGGUCCUUUCCCUGCCACUGAGGGCUUUGGCUCAGCCCUGUCGAUGUGCUUGGCCCUGUUCAAUGCAUCAGUAUAGAAAACUGUUCUCCCUACCAUGUGGGGGGGUCUGCAAAGGUUUUUUCUACUGAGAAAUAGUUCCUAAGACCCUGAAGAUGUUUGUGUGAAAGAUCGUAUGGUCACUGCCUUGUCACAAUGAGUGACUAUGGAUGGGAAUUCCAGGAUUUGGCUUCUUCAUUUCUCUUAACCUUUUAUGUCUUGAAGGUCUUUCCAGGUUGAGAUGUACGGAACAGUACUCCAGUUUUUUAAACUGUUGCCGGGGAUAACAUGGGGUAGCUAUUUCUCCAUGAAUGUACAUUCAGGUGAUAAACAGACCAUACUUAACAUGAACCCUGAUGAUGACAACAACCGAAACAAUAAAGGACGCUUAGAAAGUGCUUACGUGCCUGGCAUUGUUCUUAUUAUCAUCCUUGGUAUGUUUGUUUUCAUCCUCAGAACAAUCCUGUGAGAAAGGUAUUCUCAUUAUUCCUAUUUUAUAUUGGAAUAAAAUGAGAUCCAGAGACAUUUUCUAAUUCGACAACUGUAACAGAGCUACUAAGUUCGAUAGCUGGCGUAUGAAUCCAGAUAGAACUUUAUAGAUAGAUCUGUUUAUCUAUCUAUCUAUCUAUCUAUCUAUCUAUCUAUCUAUCUAUCUAAAACUGCUAAAAUGGCUCUUUGCCUCUGUUUUGCAUUUGCAGCUGCCAGUGAGACAUUUACAUACACUUGUAGGUAUCUUUAUUCCCCAACCCCCACGCUCUCUCAUUGUUGUUUCCCUUCUAACCCCUCAUGCCUCCGGUGAGGAUCAACUACAUUGUCAUUUGUGUGCCAUGCACAUUUCAUCUCCCCCCCCCCCCCCCGUCCAUACCCUUCUCAUCUGUCCAAAUCCUACCAGUCCUUUGCCAGAGCACAAGAUAAUCUCUUGCCUGUUACCUUUGCCAACUGUCUGCUCCAACCUAUAUUGACGUUUUUCUCUUGUAUUUUCUGAAACCAUACAGUGGAAUGCUUAAGGAUGUGAACUGUGGGGUCAGAGUGUCUGGAUUGCUGGCCUUUAGUUUCUUCAUCUAUAAAAUUGGGAUAAUGGUUAUUAUUUCAUACAGCUAGGAAGAGUAAAUAAGAUAAUUUUGUAAAAAAAAAUGUUAUCUUUUUACUGCUACUUUUACAUUCUCAAAACACUUUCCCCUCUUUAUAGUCUUACCCUUGGCCCUUGAUUAUUCUAUUUUAUGUGUUAGCGUUGCCUCUUUAAAUUAUGGGGCUAGGGUCACCUGAUCCUCUCUGUCCACCAGAAAAUCAAGCCGGAGUGGGGAACAGAUAGUAGGUAUUGGCUAUUACCGAAUAAAACAUUGCUGAGAAUGCGUGACUGACUCAUCAUGUCGAGCAUCUGUGCUCUGUAAGCUGUGCUCUGUUUAUCCGUGAAUAAAAACAUUUACCUUCAUUCUGGGGAGCUGUUUUCCAAACACCAUAUUUGAGUAUCUUCAAAUUCCAAACAGUUUAUUAGUCAUACUUCUUACAAACAAUGGCACUUAUUUUCCCUGGGCAGAUACUCUGUAGGCAGACAUCUAGAUCAGUCCAAUUAGAACUUGUUGAAUAACACAAACAGUGAUGUCUUAGCAGCAUGUUUUAUGCAGUCUUGCUUUGUUUCUGCUAGAAUCUGCUUGAUCAAAAUGAACUGUCCUUUUGAAAGCUAUUUUAGCUUUCACAACUUGUACACUCUGUAUAUAUCUACCUUCCCUGUUUCUCCCAGGGAAGAGAAUAACCUAAUUUUAUGGGGUCAUAAGUAGUUAAGUAAGGUAACUGUGUGAAAUCCUCAUGAACCUACCGUCUAGAUCUAGUUAUUAUCCAAUUAAAAUUAGUCAUUAGGACACUUCAUGAGGAAUGGGCAAGUUGUGAGUGGUAGGAAGGUACCAGGGUAAUUAUUCCCUAAUUGCUAAUAAAACAUUAUUUAUAUAGUACUUACUAUAUCCAGUGACUGUUCUAAGGUAUGUAGUUAAACAUGCACCUGUUCACCCCUCUCAUUCCCAUAAGAAAUCCAGGGAGGCAGCGUUGAGGUGAGGAAGAUGAGCCCCAGAGAGGAUGAGUAACUGUGAGGACGGAAGAGGGUGCUGGAGAAAGAAGUCAGAACAUAAACGUGCUCCAGGUGACUGGAGUCUCUGCCUUUCUAGAACUGACCCUGCACUCAAGUAGAGGGGUGUCCACGUGGAAGGAGAAGCUGUGAAAGGGACUGGGAGACCAUAGACAUCAGUUGCUUGGACAUGGAUGGGUCUGACAGCCUAGCCACCUCCUAGCAAUGUGGCCUUAAGUGAGGUACCUUCUCUGAGCAUCAGCUUCUUCACUGGUACAUUAGGGGAAAGGUAAUGGCCAUUGUGUUGCUAUGAAAAAUAAACCGUGUGUAACAAGAGGGUUAGUAGUUGACUGCUUCAAGGGCAUGGCAUCCAAAAAUAAGUCCCUUAAUGCUUCCAGGACUCUUUCGUUGAGCUUCUAAUAUUACAAUUAGGAAAAUAAUUAUGUAAGUUUCAAAUGUAGCUAAAGAAACGGGAACAAUGGUAGCCAUUACUUACAUUCAGCAUAGGUCAUAAGUUGUGGUACAUUGGCUUUCCUUUGGCUCCUCUCUCUCCUUUUCUUCUUGCUGUACUGCAGCUUACUUGAGUAUCCAUCUCUAAAGAAAACAUUUUCUUACUUAGGUGCAAUGGAAGUGACAAAAUGAAAACACUAAAACUUGGUGAUAGCAUAACGUUGGAAAAAAAUUGAAAAACACACUUUGUCUAGUUGAUGACGUUAUGUUUUUUAUGAGUGAUCACUGUACAGGUUAUUUUGUGUACGGGUUUUGUUGCGCUUCCUUCCCUUAAAUUUAUUUUUGAUCAGUUAAUACACUCAAGAUUUAAAUAUCCUCAAAUGCAGUGAGUAGUGACUAAAACACAGAUGUGGGCAUGUUCUAACAAGUGUUGACCUUUUACCAUAAUGGCUUGGAACAUUUUUAAGGGGUAAAUACUGUGGAAGACAGAUAGGACUCCAUUUCCAACUCUGAUUGAUCCCUUUCCCUCUGUCUUCGGAUGUGGAAGGAGCGUUCUAAUGUUGGUGUGUGACUUUGCUAUCUCUUUGCUUUUUUAAAGACUUCUUUUGGAAUUAAGAUGGAUGUUUUGUUAGGUUAAAAUUCAGAUAAAAAAAAAAAGCCACCAGAUCCCUUCAUUCCUUAUUCUAAUCUCCAAGUAGGUAACAUAACUAUCCCCAUUUUACAGGUGCAGAAGCUGAAGCUUUAGAUAGUCGGAAUGAUCUUACUUAGUAAGGUUACAAAACUUGCAAGUGGAGCGGUGGGCAGACCAACCCCGUUGGUUUGACUUCAGAGUCCGCUCUGAGGAUGUGGUAUAACUGUUUCUCUUCUUUGUGAACUCUGAUGCGAAGAUGAAUGUAAAAUAGACUGGACUAGAAGAGCAUAGACUGAAGAGUGUAGACUAGACUGAAGAGCGUAUAGUGGCAAGUUUACAGUCCGCAGUCCAGAGACGAUGUAUUUAGUGGGGUGGAAUAUUCAAAGCGGAAUUUAGGGCCCUGACAAAGCAUAGUAAGGAAGAAGGGAAGGCACUACUCUUUGGACAUGUGCACCUGAUCUAGGAGCUUGAAGAUAUGCACCUGACUGUUAAGAGCAGGGCUUCUCCAGCAUGAUCUCCUUUGACCUGAAUUUGCCAGGAGGUGGCCAUCCCAGUUGACAGAAGGCAAAGCACAGUCCAACCAGGGCUCCUUUCCUGGGUUGUGACCGCCUUCCUCGUGGGUUGUGUUUUAGGAUGCUGGAAAUGGGUGUGUUCAGGCGUGCCCAACCCGUGGGAAGAUGGCGGUGUGGCUGCCUCUGCCCUCAGUUGCCCGGGACUCUCUGAACCCAAGCAGCCUCACACAGAGCGGGGGUGGGGGGCAGCGUGGACCUUGUGCAAGCGCUCUUGUUUCACUUGAUCUUAAGUGAAUGACAGUACAGUUGUUACUGCCUCAAACAUGAACUGUGAUAAUGGCAGAUGGAGAGGAAUAAACCAUCACUCCUUGAGAGCAUCCGCAACUUUUCCAUACUGUUCAGCUUUAAUGGGUUUUCUUUCUGAUAUUCUCAAAAUGAACAUGAAAAAGAACGUUUUGCAACAUCGGCUUCUGUAGGGCAGGGACCCUUUGGAGCAUUGAUGCCCAUCUGACCCUUGUAACAAAUCUUCCGGUUUCAGAGGUGGGCCCAGAUGCGGACUUUGUUUUCUUGAGCAUCAACUAAUUCAUUCUCCCCUUGCCCUGAUCACUGUCACCUGUAUAUUUCUUUCUGAUGCCCAAAUAAGAUAUUAGACAAAAAGACCCACUUGCGCGGAAGCCGUGGUGCUUUUAUGCUUAGAAUGCAGCGCUCAGGCCACCACAGUGAAGUUGCUUCAGGGUCACUGCUUGCAAUGCUGGAAAUGUCUGCUGCUGUGAGGUUUAGCUUGAAGUUGUGCAGGGCAGGGCUCUGCAGCAACAACAGUGGUUUCCAAUUUUGACAGGGCACUAAAUCAACUUGGGGACUUGUAAAUAAAGAGUGAAGCCCAGGCCCCACCCUCAGAGAAUUCUGGCUGAGUUGCCUAGGGUGGGACCAGGUAUUGAUAGGCUGAAAGGCUCUCCAGGGGUUUGUAAUGCACAGCCAGGAUGGAGAACCAGGGCCAGGUAACUGUGAUUCUCAAGCUUGAGUCUGUGGUACCAUCUCCUGAAGGGCUUGUUAAAACCAGGCGACUGGGCCUCACCCUCAGAAUUUCUGGUUCAGUAGGUCUGAGGUGGGGCCGGAGAGUUUGCGUUUCUAGCAAGUUCCCAAGUGAUGCUGAUGUGCUGGUUCUGGGAACCCACUUUAAGGACCUGGUGUGGAAGGAUCUUUCCAAUUGCUUUAUAAGAUUCUAUUACAGUAAAAAAAAAAAAAAAAAAAAAAAAAAGUGAUGCCUACACAAAUACCCAGUGUUGCUUUUAGUAGAACAACUGCAUUAGGCACAAGUAUUAAAGUUUUAUACUGCCCAUUCCUAAGUAAGCUGGGCCGUUAGCUUUUUUUUUUUUUUUAAACUAGUAUGCUAACUGGAAGGCAGCUAGAUCCCCAGGAUCUGAAAGGAACUGGAUUGGAGGCGGGUAAGAGUUGGAAAGAAAAGAAAACAUUGCAAGGGCCUAUGGAAUUAUUACUCGGGCUAGCAAAUGGCCCAUCGAUGGGGGAGCUUUACUGAGACCGGUAGCUGGGGAACACAUGAGUGGCAGCAACACUAACAAUUCUCUGGGCAGCCUGGACUGUGGGACUGUAGUGCCAACAAGAAUAAAAAACAUGGUGCUUGGCCCCCAGAAGAGGGCCCCUUAGCUGCAGAUUGUACGGUCUAUGACUGGACGUAUAGAUUUCUUCUUUAAAUGGACACCCGAAAUUUCUUUUUAUCUCGUUCUUGGGACUUGUCCUAGUCCCCUUUCACUCUCCAAAUACUUGUCUCAGUGUUGUAGUGAAAAACCCAUUAUGAAAUGUUUGAAGUUCUAGGGUUCCACCUCAGCCUCGUCCGGGGAUUCCUCUUACUGCAUUGCUGCCCAUGUGUCUACACCUGACUGUAACGGAGGAGUGAACUUGUAAAAGCAACUGUUCUGUGUCACAUGCUCGCGGCCUUCCAGGAUAGGGCUUUGAACCCAAGCGAUGGCGCGGCUCGACUCACUUUUCCUUCUUGCGAUGUAGUUUCUCUUAGUUGAAGUGCCCAGUGCUGGCUGAUAGAGAAGAAAAGAGCCCAUUCUAUCCAUUUGACAGACCCUUAAUUAAUAGUAAUCAUGAAAACUGAAGUCAUGCACUGCCACGGCAUUCACCAUUGUUGUCUUAGCAAUUCCUGGACUUUACAAACAGAGCGCCCCUUAUUCUGCAAUGAAAUGAAAAAUAAUGGCGUCAUUUCAGCUUUAAAAGGAAGGAAAUGUUCAAGUGGAAUCUCUGUAUAAUUAAGCUUAACAUUAUUAUCAACAGAAAGUGAUUGUGCUUGUGUUCAGAGGCGAGAAGAGACUUAGACAAAGAACUGGUUCUUGUGAUGUAGGAGGUUCCCUCCCACCGAUAGCCAGCUACCUUUGUGUUUGACGUUGGACAGGUGCCGUUUUCGGUGCCUUUCUCUCUCUCAUCCUGCUGCUUUCAAGUUCCUUCUCAUCAGUUCUUGGGACUGUCUUUGUAACAUUUGCUUGUUGGCCGUUUCUUUUUAGGUCUUCCAGCAUCUGCUUUCUUGCUUUUGCUUUUAUAUUUCGUUUUUUUUCUAGGGUGAGAAUCACUUUUUCUUGACUUGGACACACUGGCUUUCUGACAUGUAAAAUGAAAACAGUCUAAUUUUUAGCCAAAACAGGUGUUGAGUGAUUGAUCCUAUCAAGUGGCUCACUCCAGAAACCUCAUUUACUCCUAGCUUCUUUAUUACCUCCUCAUAAUUCAUUAGCUUAAUAAAACGCACGUGUGAAAGGGCAGCGGUCGAAAGCACAGCUCUCCAGUGUGCAUGCGUGCCUGCUCCAUCCCCUGCCCCUAUGCCAGGGGUUGGAGAGGACUGAGCUUCCCCUGGGAACAUCAAGCCUCCAGGACGUGGUGCUAUGUAUGAAGAACCUCCAAUUAGCCCAUGCCUGGGAGAAGGAUUCCUUGUUUGCUGUGGCACAUUGAGUCUGCCCGUCUUAUGGAAACACCACCCGCAUUCCCUUUAGUGGAAUCCCAGGGAUAUAAAGUUUUUAUAUAUGCUGCUUCAUGAUUCCCAACAGCCACAAAAUAUCGAAUUUUUUUGGCCUGUUACGGAAAAUUUCCAGGUCCCCAAAUGUCACCAAAGAAAGCCCCAGCCUCCAAGUAUGUGGUACUUGUUCUCACUAACAUCUAAGCUUGGUUGCUGGAUACCAAAGGCCCACAGAGGAAGAGAUGGGGCGGUUAUUGUCCUAGUCUUCAUUUAGGUUUAGCAAAUGUCUGAUGCUACCCAUUCCCCCCUCCCCUUUUUAACAUUUUCGCCAGAGCCCAGACUCAUCUUGUGGAGCAUUCCCCCCACCUCUUCAUUCCUAAACCCCUGUGUAUUAUAAAGGAAAUGAAAUCCAUAUGUUUCUGAUUCAUUUACAUGUAGCUCAUCAAAAUGUAGUUUUGUAAGAGCUCUUUGGUGUCCAAGAAGCAUUUGGAGCCUUUUUAUGAGACUUUUAAACACCUCCCUCCCUUUCCCCUUAGAACCAGGAAGUCGGGACUUGCCAAGACUAAAUAAAAUCAAGCUUCAGGGUUGACUCCGUCUCUAGUCUGACCCACCAAACUUGAGCACACUCACAGCUUCAGCAAAAACAGAAAAGACUCUCUCUCUACCCUUUUGAAGGUGCCAUAGAAGUGGCGCUAAUCCCACUUAAACUUGGCAUGACAGUGGGUUUGGUCUGGUCCUCAGCUUCUCCCGGAGAGAGCCAGUGAUCUACACAGCUGAACCUCCCCCCUCUGGCCCGUUGGGUGAGCACGAUGCCCGCUGCAGAAGCUCAGCGGGGGGUCUUCCUGGCAGUGUUGCCCACCUCGUCCGCUGGCCGGUCGCUAAGUUAAGUCUUUUUGACUUUCUCAGCCAUGGAUUUCCUACCAGGGGAAUUCCUUUGCACCAGUGACUUCUGUCUUGCAGGAAUGGUGACCGAAACAUCCGGGACCAUAAACUAGGCUUUAGGGCAGCACUGCUGUCAUUUAAUGACCUUUUUGAGUGUUUUUCUUCAGCAAGAAAAGCUUAUAAGCUUUGAGGAAGAAACUACUGCCAUUAGGACUUUAGAGCUUUUACUCUAUACACCCCCAAAAAUGAAAGGAGUCAACCUGUUUUCAGAGUUCAGAUAGUGAGAGGUUCUCGCUUGUCCUCUGUGAUCCUAAAGGGGAUGGAUUACGUACAGCCACUUGAGAGCUUAGGAUUCCUCUCUUGGGCUGUUGUAGUGGGGGGGAGGAAUUCUGCCUUCUUCUUUGCACAUCUCAUCUCACUUCCCUCAGUCAGGGUGGUGUUGGGCCUUUCAGGGGCCACAGCCUGGGCGCAUGGAAAUGCAGAGGCCUGGAAGGAGCGGGAAAGAAAGCUGGACCUGGAAGCCCUCACUCUGCAUUCUAGCUGCUGAACUCAGGCUCUUUCCAGAGUGUGUUUAUUUAUUCACGUGGACGCAUACAAUGUAGUAAAAGUCAUCCGCUCAUUCAUACAUGACAUUGACUCAGGAUGAGUCUGGAGAAGUGUGCUCUGUCUUCUUGUGCAUAGAAUUUGAUAAAGUCCUUGUUUAGCUUCAACACAAAGAUGAUACAAUUAAAUAUUAUGUAUACUGUGCUUGUGUGUGUGUGUGUGUGUGUGUGUGUGUAAGUGGAGGAGCCAUUCUGAGCGGAAAUUUUAAAAUAGCAGCUAUAAAAUGUUUUAGGCAAGUUGGAAAAGUGUAAAUUAGGUCUUGUUCCACCUUGAAGUCUGAGCAUCACCUGAAACCCCAUGGCAGGGAAAAAUCCAUUACCAGCAAUACUUGUGUUGAAGCUGCCCCGUCACAGGUGAAAGGGCUUGCACCAGGGUCCUAGGUGCACUCAGUUAUUUCUCAAAGUGCGUAAGCCUGCUCUUGUAUGAUCCAAGGACAGACAGCCGUCAGUCCAUUGCAAAAAUGCCUUCAAGGGGUCGAAGUUUACCUGAUAGACGGUGAGGACCUUUGGUUCUAUGAGCAGUGGGUAAGAUUUUGUUCAUUUUGUCCUGCCUCCUGCUGGUCUUCACUCUUCAGUGAUAUGUGGGUCCUCAGGUUUACAGAUAACCAAGCACUAUACACAUUGUCUGUUAAUUUCCCCUCAGUGUUCCAGUACUUUACUUUCUGGCGGAGAAAUAGAAGUCGCACUUCAUCCAGUGAAUUGUGCCCAGUGUGAUUAAUUGAUUGAUUUACUCCUUAAGCAGAUACUGAGUGCCUUCCCUGUGUGGAGACUUAUUCUAGGUGCUGGGAAGUAGUGUUUAGGACACAUGCAACUUCUCCAUUGACACAGCUUCUGUUCCUGUGGGUACAGCUUACAUUCUGGGGCUCACCCAAGGAGUCACAGAGCCAAGGGGUGAACUUAGGCCUUCAGCUUCGCUGAGAGAGAGUGGUGACUUUCCUUCCUACUUGAGCUACGGCUGACUUCCCUUAGAAUGGCCCUUCCCGUCAUCCUAUGGAAAAAACUCUGUCACAGCAUUCUCUGCCACACUGAAAUUGAAGACUUUGAGGGAAAAAGCAUUUUUAUCAGAAUUUUGGUAUAGCCAAGAGGUUUAAAGAUCCGGGGGUUUUUGGCAACAUGUUGUGAGUAAUUUCUAAUUAAGGAUGUCUCAAGGACUAGAACUUUGAGGGUGAGCCAUAUGAAAUUUCUUUUUGGUAUAGGUCAGAAUGGUCAAAUACUGGCAAUUCCUCAUGUCUGUCCUCAUAUCAGACAUUCCAAAAGUCUGAUAGAUUUUCUUCCUCUUUGUACCUUGUAUGUGGUAAGUGCUUAAUAAAUGUAAGCAAAAUUGCUAUGUAUAUCUCAGGUACUCAGGCACUUCUGAGCAGUCUAAAUUAUUUGUUUUCUGUCCAUUUUGCAGUUCUUGUAUGUAGCUAAAGUUGUAUAACAUUUUGUUAAAACUUACUAUUCAUCAACUUCAUAGCAGUAGUUUAUAGGAUUUUUCACAGUGCGAUCUUCCCUUCUCCAAAGGGUUUCUUAAACUCUCUGAUCCUCACAUUAUAGCCUCACUGAAAAGGAUGUUGUUGGUAUCCUCAUCCUGGAAGGUACCCAUGAGAGGCGUCUUGAAGGCAUAGGAUAAAGAAGGUGUGUAUUCAACUUCAUUAGCCCUGCCUACAGCUUGGGCUUACCUGCCUCCCAGGACCUGUCCUGAAAUACCAGGUGUUUGGCACCCAGUGGGGCUCAGUAGAUGUUAGCAGUUAUUUUUAUCAUUGCUAUUAAAUGUCAGCGUUGUCAAUGAUAUUAUGAUAAAUGGCAUUAUAGUGACAGAUGAUAUCAACCCUUAUGGUGAGCAUGGUAUAACAUAAGCUUGUGGAAUCACUAUGUUGUACACUUGAAACUAAUGCAACACUGUGUCAAAGCUACUCAAAAAAUAAUUUAAAAAGGUCAUUGUAGGUACGCAUGCUCUGAAAUGAACAGGAUAUCUAAGUGGAUUUUUUCCAAAAAAAAUUUCCUUUGAAAAUUGUUUUUGUUGUCUUGUGAUUUGUUUGUAUGGGUGUAAGUAUUUGGAGGUGGGGAAUAUGAUGUGGAGAUUUUGAUGAAAAGGUACAGUAUUGGCUUCAGUUUUCAUAUCAAAUCACAUGCACAUUAUGAAAUCUAUAAGGAAACCUGCCACAUAGGCUGAUGCCUGGCAUAUAAUAACCCAGAAAAUGCUGUUUUUAACAGUAACUCCAACAGUUCCUUCCUUCUCAAAAUAUAAAGUACCCGAUGUUUUGAGAUUUUUUUGGAUUCUUUCAAAAGCCAUCUUACAGACUCUUUCCAGGAAAAAAAUCCAGAUAGUUGGCGAUUCAAGGUAGUCACUGGAAAAAAUGCAGUGAAACUUAGUAUGUUGGCACCAUGGAGUGAUGGUACCUUUGAAUGUCUUUCUCUAAGAUAACCUCCAUUGUUCACUAUUCAAAUAUAUGUAACAGUUCAAGGGAUGCUUGGCUGGCUCAAUUGGUAGAGCCAGUGACUCUUGAUCUCAGGGUAGUGAGUUCAAGUCCCACAUUGGGGCGUAGAGCCUACUUAAAAAAACAGAGACAAGAAACAGAACAUUUUAAGAUGCAUUGUUAAAAAGAGCAAGGCUUAAAACAAUAGGUGUCAUGGUCUCAUUCGCAUUAAAUAACAUCCAUGGGGGUAGAUUGUGCAGAGGACAAUUUGAAGAAGCACAGGGUUAACUGCAGUGGGGGAGGGGGUUGGGAAAGCAUAGGAAACUAGUUGAAAUAGUUGAUUACACAUGUUUUAUUCUUUCAGUUUUUUUUCUGACGAACAUACAUUUAUUUGGAUAAUGACAACUAAAAGUACCGAAUCUGAUUUAGGCAGGUGAUGCUCUUUCUUUUCAGAGUGCUUAUUAGUCUACAGUUUUAAUAGUCUGCUUUGGUUGUUACAGUAUGAAGUGUCCUGUGUUCUAGCCCCAAGGAUGGACUGUGCUGAGCUUACUUCCCAUCUACAAUGAACUUCAUUUCUAAGUGAAAUAGUUGGCCCAGUUUUCUAAAACAUGCCUGUGGUGUCUGUCAGUGCCAGGUGCAUUGAGAGCUACCCCUGGAAAUAACUGUGGAAGAGGCAGGAGUCUGAAGCAAUACUGAAUCCUUGAUCUAUUUGAAAUGUCAGGGUGCCUGGCAGCCCAGUCGGGUGAGCAUCCAACUCUUGAUUUCAGCUUCAGUCAUGAGGUCAGGGUCGGCGAGAUCGAGCCCAUGCUGGGCUCCAUGCUGACAGCAAGGAGCCUGCUUGGGCUUCUCUCUCUUCCCCCUCUGUCUGCCCCUCCUUUGCUCUCUUACAGUAAAUAAAUAAACUUAAAAAAAAAAAGAAUUGCUUCUAUUUUUAAAGUUUCAGUUAAGACCAAACAAACAAACAAACAAACAAAC